rnacentral:miRNA from 1 species
GCUGACACAUCCCGGACAAUCUCCAGCAGACCCUCACUCCCAGACCCUCUUACUUCUUGGACAGCAUCCAUGUUUCAACAUCAUGUUUCAACAUGGAUGCUGCCCAGGAAGUAGGAGGGCCUGGGAGGGAGGGUCUGCUGGAGAUUUGCCGGGAUGUGUCAG